UUCAAAAUUAAUCGACCUCUUCCAUCUUGCUACCCUCUGCAUCAGCAUCAGCUUCCUCCAAUGGUGGCAUGUCAGCAUCAGCUUCUGCUGCAUCCUCAUCAAUGCUAAGUCCAAGCUUGAGCAUCCUGUGAAUCCUGUUGCCAAAGGUGUUGGGCUCAUCAAGGCUGAAUCCAGAGGUAAGAAGAGCAGUCUCAAACAGCAAGAGGACAAGAUCCUUCACAGAUUUGUCAUUCCUAUCAGCAUCAGCACGUUUCCUCAGCUCCUCCAUAAUGGGAUUCUCAGGGUUGAUUUCCAUUGUCUUCUUGCUUGACAUGUAACCAGCCAUGCUGCUAUCCCUCAAAGCCUGUGCCUUCAUGAUCCUCUCCAUGUUGGCAGUCCAACCAUACUCACCAGUCACUAGACAGCAAGGAGAGUCCACAACUCGGUCAGAAACAACCACUUUCUCAACCUUGUCGCCCAACACUUCCUUGAUCACCUUGCAGAGGUUGUCAAAUUUCUCCUUCUGUUCAUCCAUCUUUUUCUUUUCAUCCUCGCUCUCAUCAAGUUUCAAACCUUCCUUAGUUGCAGAUACCAGCUUCUUUCCCUCAAAUUCCUUGAGCUGGCCAACAGCAUAUUCAUCUAUAGCGUCAACCAUGUAAAUCACUUCAUAUCCCUUCUUCCUAAGUUUCUCAAGGAAGGGGGAAUUCUCAACAGCUUUCUUGCUUUCACCGGUGAUGUAGUAAAUGUCAUUCUGUCCUUCCUUCAUCCUGGUAACGUAGUCCUUGAGGCUGGUCAUGUCAUCACCACUCUUGGUGGAGUGGUACCUGAGCAAAUCAGCAAGCUUUGUCUUGUUUUGAGAAUCCUCAUGGAUACCCAGCUUCAAGUUCUUAGAGAAGGCCUCAUAGAACUUGUUGUAGUCUUCCUUGUUCUCAGCAAUUUCAAAGAAAAGCUCAAGGCACUUCUUCACCAAGUUCUUCCUUAUGACCUUGAGAAUCUUGUUCUGUUGAAGCAUCUCUCUUGAAAUGUUAAGUGGGAGAUCUUCAGAGUCCACAAUACCCUUCACAAAGCUAAGAUACUCAGGCAUCAACUCCUCACAGUUGUCCAUGAUGAAAACACGGCGGACAUACAGCUUGAUGUUGUUGGGCUUCUUCUUUGUGUCAAAGAGAUCAAAAGGUGCUCUCUUGGGUACAAAGAGAACAGCCUUAAACUCCAACUGACCCUCAACUGAGAAGUGCUUAACAGCCAAAUGCUCUUCCCAAUCAUUGGUGAGACUCUUGUAAAAAGCAGCAUACUCAUCCUUUGUAAUCUCCUCGGGCUUCCUCAUCCAAAUAGGUUUUUGCUUGUUCACCAAAGACCAUUCAUUAGACACCUCCUUAAUCUUUUUCUUUUUCUUCUCUUCCUUUUCUUUCUCCUCAUCUACUUCCUCAACCUUACCCUCCUCUUCCUUCUUCUCUUCCUCAUCCUCAUCAUCAGAAAUCUCUUUCUCAAUAGUCUUCUCAACCCAAAGAGAAAUUGGAUAGCUGAUAAAUUCAGAAUGUUUCUUAACCAAGUCCUUCAGACGGCGUUCCUCAAGAUACUCAAGUUGAUCCUCCUUGAGGAUGAGAGUUAUCUUAGUUCCCCUGCCAAGAGCUUCGCCAGUUGUGUCCCUAGUCACAGUGAAUGACCCUCCAGCUUGAGACUCCCACACAUACUGUUCAUCAUCGUUGUGCUUUGUGGUAACAAUAACCUUCUCGGCAACAAGGUAGGCAGAGUAGAAACCAACACCAAACUGUCCAAUCAUGCUCACAUCAGCACCAGCAGCUAUGGCUUCCAUGAAUUCCUUGGUACCAGACCUAGCAAUGGUACCUAGGUUGUUCACCAAAUCUGGAACAAAAAUACAUAGAAAUAUUAGUAAACAACAUAAAAUAUCACACGACACAGUGCUGCUACAUAAACCAAUUUCAGGCUAAGAAAAGGGAGAAAAAAAAAGCAUAUUAACUUACCAGCUUUGGUCAUUCCAAUCCCACUAUCAAUGAUAGUCAAAGUGUUGUUGGUCUUGUCAGGAAUAAUGUGAAUGAACAACUCUGGCUGAGAAUCAAGCUUGCUCUUGUCGGUCAAGCCCUCAAACCGAAUCUUAUCCAAAGCCUACAUUACAAAAUUCCAGCACAUAAUCAGAACAAUAUUCAUACCCACAACAGAAAAUCAUCUAUCACAUUAAUCAUUCAUAAAAUCGAAUCCUAACAAUCCAAAGUAAUAGUAACAAUUAUACUUCUAGAAACAAGGAUUUCUAGUCACAAACAACUUCAAUUUGAAAAUUAAAGGAUCAACAAACCUUCCAUUCAAAAAUUAAAGAGUUGAUUAUGAUUAACAUAGAUUACUUGUCACAUACAACUUUCAUUCAAAGACUAAAGUGCCGAUUAUAUCAAUAACAUUACAUAGUAUAUGAUUAAAUGAAAACAUUACACAGUAACAAAUAGAUCACAUAAUCAAGGUUGUUAUCAAUACAAACGGGACUAAUUAAAAAUUUAAUUUCAAUUUAGGUAUUUCAAGUAUCACUCUAAUAUGAAUCAACGAUAGAACAAUCAUCACAAUUUAACUUUAAAUUAAAAUCAAUGAAACCUAAACAUGACUAACAAAUCAUCACUGUUAAUCAUAAUCAACCAUCAUAAUCAUCACUGUUAAACAACAACGGAAAAAUCACAAAGAUCCUAAACAACGCCACCAACCAAAACCCUAGGAGUAUAUAAUCAAUUAACAUAAACCCUAAAAUUGAAAAAAUAAUCCAAUUAAAACGAUAACAAAAGAAAUCAUCAAAAUCAUAAUAAAAUAGAACCUAAACUAGAUCGAACCCUAAUAAAGAUAAAAAAUAAAAUAAAAAAGCAAAAAAAAAAAACGAAGAGGAAGAAGCUUACAUCGGAAGCGUUGCUGAUGAGUUCACGAAGAAAAAUCUCCUUGUUGCUGUAAAAAGUAUUGAUGAUGAGACUAAGAAGUUGAUUGAUCUCAGCCUGGAAAGCGAACGUCUCUUGUUCCGCCAUUGCCGAUCUGGUUUUUCUAGAGAGAGAAAGCGUUUGUCGUAGAGAGAGAGAGAGUGAACGAGUUUUGCAGAGUGUGAAGUGAGUGAGUUGUUAUAUAAUAAGUGUUUGCUAGGGUUUCUCGUUUUCUAGAUCCUUCUAUUUCUAUAUUUAUAAUUAUAAAUUAAAUAACUUUAUUUGUUCAAAUAAUAACUUUAACUUAAUUGCGAUUAUUUGGGUCCACUUUACUCUCAACUUACCACUUGGAUUUUUUUUUUGAAGGAACUAACCACUUGGAUGUGAAGCGUAGACUUGGUUUUCUUCUUUUUUAUUUCUUUUUCUGUUUUAUUUACACCAAUAAUAUUUGAAGGUUGAUCGAAGAUUCUACUUGGUUUUUUCAACAAAAAAAAAAACAUUCUAGUUGGUUUUAUUCUUUUAAAUAGAUAAAUUGUUUUGCAUUUAUUUUUUAUGAAAGCAUUUGGAAAGUUUUACAAAAAUUAUAUUUUUACUCCUUUCACAAAAAAAUUAUUUUUUUUUACUAUUUAUUUAGACUAAAAUACACUUUUUACCCUAAAGGUUUUUAAAACUAACGAUUUUGGUCCUCUUAUUUUGAACCUGUACCCUUUUUCAAAGCCAAUUUUGCAAAAUUGUGGUCCUCCCUAAUUUUGAAUUAAUCAGAGCAUGUUUGACACAUUUUUUCCUAAACCAAGUAUCAUCCAAGUCAUCUAUGUGAGUUUUGACACACAAAAAAAAGAGGUCUCAUGCGAUAUUUGUUGUAUAACGGGCAAAUCUACAUUGUUUAUCUUCUUCUCCAUAAAAUAGGGAUUGCUCCUUCAUCUUCCACAUCCAACUCUUUAUUGUUUCUUCUUCUUCUUCAUUCAUUCGUUCUUCCCUUUUUCAUCAAUCUCCAUUGUUUUUUUUUUUUUACUAUAAAAUAGGGAUUGGUCCUCUUAUUUCCUCUUGUUUUAUUUUUCAUAUAUAUCUCCAAAAACCGAAUCUUUUUUUUUUUUUUUGCAUAAAUAUGUCAAUAAACUCAUCCAAUUAAUUAUUUAAGUCUCUUUUGAUAUUACUGUGUGUGUAUAUAUAUAUAUUUACAGGGAUGGACAUACUCUUUAUAUUUAUACAUUCAAUUUCCAUCCAACUUUAUUUGGUGGUGUCUGGGGUUCGAACCCCAGACCUUGCAUAUACUAUGCAUUGUCCUUACCAACUGAGAUAAACUCACGGAGACUUCCAUCCAAUUGUUUGUUUCUUUAUUGUCUCUAAUUAUUCAACUUUUAUAGUUUAUACAUAUAAUAAAUUGGUUUAAUAGUAGUUUUGGCCCCCUAAGUAUUAGAAAGUUGCAAUUUUGAACCCCUAGCAAAAAUAAAAUAUAAAAUUGCCCCCUAAGUAUUGCCCCUUUUGCAGUUUUGGCCCCCCAAACCAAUGUUGACCAAGUCAGAGUUGACAUGGACAUCACGUGUGUAUUUUUUUUUAAUUAUUAAAAAAAUUAUUAUUUUUAAUUAAAAAAAUAAAAUAUUUUUUAAUUAAAAAAAAAAUACACAUGUGGCAUCCACGUGUGCAUUGACUUUUCAAAAUUGGUCUGGGGCCAAAACUGCAAAAGGGGCAAUACUUUAGGGAGCGGUUUUGUAUUUUAAUUUGUUAGGGGGCUAAAAUCGCAACUUCUUGAAACAUAGGCGCCAAAACUAAUGUUAAGCCAACAAAUCAAACUAAUUAUAAUUCGAAGUCGACUAUGCAUCCAUCAACUUCAUCUAUAUUAUUUACAAUUUGUCCUCGUGAGCUUAGCUCACUUGGUAAGAACAAUGCAUAUGCAAGGUUUGGGGUUCAAUCCUCGACCACCACAAUAAAAAAAAUCUACAAUUUUAAUUUUCUUUUUUGGUCAAGAAUUUUAAAUUUUUUUUAAUAAAACGAAUUAUCAACAUAUCCAUUUUUAUAGGGUUUUUUUUAGUCAUUCAAUUCAUAUGUUCUAUAUAUAACAAAUUAACUCACUAUCUCUAAAAAAACAAAUUAAUGAAUCAACCACUUUUGAAUCAUGCACUUUUAUACGGUGACCAAUCAUCUAUUUUUUAUGUUGAACAAUUAUAUGUACACACACUAACAUUGAGACAGACAAUGCUAGAUUAUUUUUUUUGCGCUAAUGCAUAUAAAUUAGGAAAAAUAGUUAUUAUAAAAUUUUAAUUAAAAUUAUUUUUAUUUUGAUUAAAAUAUAUGUUGACAUUUUGCGCUUUUUUAUUAUAACAAACUAUACUUAUAUUUUACAAUGACACCAACAAUAUAAGAAUUAUAAUAUAAAUUCUUAUUUUUUUUUAAUAAUACCAUAAAUAUAACAUUCUCAUAGAGGUAGAUUUAUUUAAGAGUAUAAUUAAAGGUGAAAAAACCACCGUAAAACAUUUAUUCCCUUUCCGUAGUAACUGUAUAAAUUAUUCUAUAACUCAAAUUUUAUUUAUCAUAUUUAUUUUCAUAAAAACAAUAAAAAAAAACCAACUAUACUAAUUUAAGAUUUAUAUAUAAUUAUUUAUAUUUUUCUCCAAUUUAUCUAUUUUAUUAGUUAACAUAUCUAUAUAUAUAUUAAUGUAAGACUCACUCAAAAAAAAAUUAAAGUAAGAUUAUUCAAUUUAAAGAAAUUCACUUUUAGCAUCUCUUAUUUUUUCAAAUUCACUUCAUUUCCCUUUUAUGCAUUCAAAUUCUCUUCAAUUUCGCUUUUAUAUAUUUAACAUAAAUAUAGCAACAAAUUAUAUCUGAUUUUGUUUUACAUAAAAAUCUCAAUAAACGAUGUAUAUUAAUUUGAUUUUAUCCAUUAAAUAUAUAAUUUAAUUUUUUAAUUCAUUUUUAAUAAGAAUCAAAAUUAAAUUUUACUUAAAUUUACUAAAACACACGAAAGAGAGCUUGAGAAGGAUUCAAGGAUUCAGGGACUCUCUCCUGUUAGCAAAAGGAACAAUGUCUUGGUUGCACGUUUCACUGCAUCAUAACAAUUACAGGAUGAUCUUCAAGGUCCAAUAACAGGUGUAGAUAUAGCUCAAGGUCCAAAUCAAGGAGGUAUAGACGUGGUAGUGGUUCUUCAACAACUUGAUGAUCAUAUUGAUCAUAUCCAAGGUCCAAUUCAAAAAGGUGUAGAGAUUGAUCAAGUAUCGGUGGCUCUUCAAGACUAUGCGCGUACAAGGACACUUGCUCAGAUAUUUGGUUAUAGCAAAAAUGUUGAGCAUGGAGAUUUCAUGAACUAUUCCAAGACGACAACAAUGAGUUGAUUUCGAUAUGUUUUGUUCACAAUUUUGCUGAAAAUGCAGAAUUGCUGAAGACUAUUCCAUAGAAUUUAGUUGAUUUCGAUACGUUUUGUUCACAAUUAAUCAGUAUUUUUUUUUUUUACAGGUACGUAGCCAUUAACUAAAUCAACAUUACCUAACUGUCACCCUUGUUUUCAGUAUUAUUUUUUGGCUUUCGUUGUCUUGUAUCAAAAUGUAUGGUGUUUCCUUAUUUUUAUGAAUGUCUAAAGCAAAUUACAACUUUUAAUAUAGUUCUUAAGUUACAUUUAGAAUUUCAACAAUUAAAACAAUGAAAUAUCGCCUUAACAGAACAUCUUGAUAUUGUUGUUCCUAUCUAGACGAACCUUGUUUUGCUACGCGCUUGUGCCUUUUUCCUUGAUUGAUGAUAUAAAAAUUCAACAUGUCUUGAAUUGCUAGGGGCGUUCAUUAUGCAUAAUUGUGUUAUAAAUUGCUAACACUUAUCAAAUUAUCGUGAUAUAAAAAUUCAAAAAGAAAGUAAUAGAUGUAAAAUAUUUACAAAUUACAAGUAGUAGCAUCUGAAGAGUACAACAGGGACACAACUAUUAUCUAGUGUACGUGCCUGCAUUGGCAGGCUGCCACAACAAAUGUGUCAGUAGGGUUAAACCAACAAACCUUCCUUGAAUUUGGAUUCCCAACUGGUAUGUCAAGCACAUCGGAGAAUUCCAGCAACUUCUCUUUAUUACGUUGGUCAAAAAAUAUCUUUACUUUAAUCAUUUGCUUUUCCUGCAGUAACGAUAUUUGGUUUUAGAAGCUUAAAAAGAGAAGUGGUUAAUUAUGCAUAAAAGCAAGCAACCAUUCAUUGUUAUAUAUGACUUACUUGCAAGUUACAAGCAUGCCUCAUUUUCAUGCUACAUAAAACCAGAAAACCUUUAAAUUUUACUUAGUCGCAGCUGCCUGCGAAAUACUUGGUAAAAGAUUAGCUAAAUAGAAGCAUAAUAACAUCUGUUUGACCAAUUAAUUUCAUUAUUCCAAGUAAGUGUAACGUGAAAUGAAAAAUAAGUGGUAUAAUGCAAGAGGAUUGUUCGUGAAUGUGAAGUAGGAUAUCCCUUUCCUCUCCUACCAAAGAGGAUUUUAUGGAGCAAUUUAAGAGUAUAAUCAAUCUUCUUUCCGGAUAAUUUAAGUACCACUGAAGCAUAAAAUACAAGAGUCAUAAAAAUUACUAGCUGCUACGAUGCAAAAACAUGUAUCUAAGGCAUAAAGUGCGUUAUAAACAUGAACAUGAAAAAUUAUAAGAGAAAAUUCAUAUCACACAAUUAAGGGUAACUAUGAAUCUGAGGUGAAUACCUUUUCAAUUUGAAAUUAUUAGGAUGCAUCUAUGUCAUAUGAUUUCUACCAACCUCGAAAUUGAUUUCCUUUCACGUAGAGGACAAUUGGUUGUAGGAGUUGUUGACUCUGUCUCCUUCAGUUCCUUUAUUUUCUUUUUCACCUCCUAAUGGUCAUUUCCCCUCCCGCACUUUUUUAAUCCUUUCUCAACUUCGAUAUCUUCAGAACCAUCGUCAUUUGACUUAUCGUCAACCUUAUCCUUACCAUCCAACCCCUAUUCUCGGCUUUUCUUUUCUCCUUUUCACAGUUCUUAUGUUUGACUUCAGGAAUAUCCUCUAUCCUCUAUCUCCUUUUGUUCCUUCGUUUUCCUUUUUCACCUUCCACCCUUCAACCUUUCCUUUCCUACAUUUUUCAAAUCCUUCCUCCACUUUGACAUCUUCAUUUGUCCAAUGUUGUAUGCAGAGCAGCUGUAGUUCCUUUGAAUUAUCAGUGAAAGAUUAGGGCUUACAAUGUACUUGUAUUUAAAUAUUGUGAUCCAUACUACAUUACCCCUGAAUCAUACUGCAGGGGCAGCCACAAUCCCCCACAAGAACCAUUUGGGUCAAGCCCAAGGGCAGGUCGAACAAGCAGAAAGGUCUCACCCGCUUCGCUCUUUCAACCUUGCCCACUUGCAAGAACCUAUGAGUCAUACUCAACAAAACAAGAUUAAGACCAUCCUCCAGCUAGAGUAGUGGAAUAACACAACUAUGAAAGAUACAAAACAAGAUUAUACAUACACUCCUAAAAAUAUAUUGUGACAAAUAAAAUUUGACGUUAUAGGAAAAUCAUACCUUAUUUUUUUUUGAGUUGUUAUUGAUAAAAGACACUAUAUACAUCUAUCUUUUACUUACUUUUUAUCUUAUACACCAUACAGAAAUUUGGAUAUACAUAAACAAGAAAAUAAAGAGACACUAUUUCGUGUCAGUUUUUGAUAUUCAAAUAUCAUUACUCUUUUAUUUUACAUCUAUGACAUUCUUUGACAUCCGCUUUGAUGCGUUGAGGAGGGACAUCACCACAACAUUUCCAAUCACAAAGCUUAAGUUUAAGUUUUUCUUUUUUGAUGAGAGAAGAUUAGGUAUCAUUUACUUGACCAUUUAUGUAAAAAUGGAUAUUGCAUUUGUUACUUUUCUUUCAUGACAAUAUAUGGUUUUGUAGUCAAGACUUCUUGAAGCGAUAUGAAUAUUACAUAUUUUUAGAAUAUUUUUACACAAACAACUUGUCACAUUUCAAUAAUCAAAUGGGAAACAAUGCAAUUAGAUAUAAAUCAAACACUUAAGAUUAACCAUAUUUAUAGGCCACUCCUGCUAACUCAGAGGACACAACAAAAUAGUUUGGGCAAAUUCCAAAAACAAUACCUCUCACAAUAAAAUCAAAACGUGCAACUCAAAAAAGCAUUAAAAUUAUCAAUCGCAGUCAAAGAGUGUUAAUCUGAGCUACUCUUCUCCGCAUAUACUCCAAAACCGUUUCCAAUGGCUGAAGAGAGUACGUAAUUUGGCUCUUCAAAAAUGGAGAAAUUACACUGAUCUCCCAUGAAGUCUCUUUGGAGGACACAAACAUGACUUAAAAAAAAUGUUAUUUUUCUGUUUCGGUUUCUAUUGAUGAUGAUAAUCUUCAUCCACUAAACUUAAAUUUCUGCCAUUUUUUGCAAGUUUCUCUUUAUUUCAAAUUUCAACUAUCAUAACUCGCUGCUUUCAUUGAAGAAUACCCAAAAAAAGCCAGACUAUUAACUUCUGUCUGAACAAUGUAAUUUUUUUUUUUCGCAUAGCAAUACAGCCUACAGGGUAUUUGUUAUUAUGUCUGAACAGUGUCUAACGCAAGAGUGUCUACUGUAUUUCAUAAGUUGUUGGAUUUAAUGGAUUAUGGCUAGAAAAAAAAACAAUAAUCCCUCCAUUUAUCACUUUUGAAGAAUAAUUUUGUUUCAAUUUACCUGUCACUUUUAUAUUUCAAUGCAAUAUUAAGAAGAAUAAAAUGAGAACGGAAUUUAUCCAACGAGAACCAAAGAAAAAGACUUGUGCUUUACGUCUUUUGUGUUGGAACUUGGAAUGUUGGGUGUUGAGUGUAGAGAAGGUAAAUCAGAUCAUUAGUUUUUCUUUUUAUAAAAAUAAUUUGAUAGAAAACGGUGUCAAACAUUAGAGAAAAUCACCGUAAAAUAACUUAGAGGGAUGUUCGUGUCGUUUAAAUAGACCUUCAAAAAAUAUGAGCGUAUUUUUCCCUUAAAAAAAAUUCCAAUCAUAAUGUCUUAAAACACAUCACCUUUCAUCUCUAUUUUUCAGAUCUAUUUUCACCGUUAUUUGUGAAAUAAAGUCCGCAUUAAAAACGAAUAAAAGAUAUAAAUCCAUAAAUCAAAAAUUGGCAUACCAACACUAUAAUGAUGUUUCUACCAACAAAAACACUAUAUCGUUUAUUUCUUUAAGACUAACUUUUUGGUUCGAUAAAUUGAUAAGAUAGAUAUUUAGUACUUCUCUAAAAUAAUCAAUAACCAAUGAGUUGUUUUUUUUUUCUUUCAGAGAUGAAUGAAAGGAAGAAACAAAUGACGGAAUGUAAUAAUAAAAUAAAGAAAAAUGAUAUUAGAACAAUCAUUUUCUACAACUUUUUUGACAACUUUCUCUCUCAUAUUUACAUUAUCUUUUUACUUUUUCUCUCUAUUCCUUUGAUCUUUGUGUCACUACCAUUUCCUUUAUAAAAUUUUGACUGUCAUAAAAGUUGACACAUAUAUCGAUGUUCAAAUAACACAACUUUAAACUAAACAAAAACGUACCUUUACAGCAAAAAAAACACCUUAAAAACAAUAACUAAUAAGGAAGUUAAAAUAUACUUGUAAAUUGGCCAGUUAUAUACGAACGCAUUCUUCAGCUUCGCUUCACCGGUCCAGAAAAUAAAGUAUGAGCACAGAAGCACGAAUUUGUAUCAAAAUAUAAAAGGACACACCAACGAUUGUCAACAAUUGACACACCAAAAGUUACGAUACGUAAACAAUAGCUACGCUGGUCCAGAAAAUUGCAUCUAAUAAAUUCCAAAAUUCAAAAUUAAAGAAAAAACAUGAUAAAAAUACUGUUUCUCAACCUCACGCCUUCCUAAACAAUAGCAUCUAUUUCAAAAUUAAUCGACCUCUUCCAUCUUGCUACCCUCUGCAUCAGCAUCAGCUUCCUCCAAUGGUGGCAUGUCAGCAUCAGCUUCUGCUGCAUCCUCAUCAAUGCUAAGUCCAAGCUUGAGCAUCCUGUGAAUCCUGUUGCCAAAGGUGUUGGGCUCAUCAAGGCUGAAUCCAGAGGUAAGAAGAGCAGUCUCAAACAGCAAGAGGACAAGAUCCUUCACAGAUUUGUCAUUCCUAUCAGCAUCAGCACGUUUCCUCAGCUCCUCCAUAAUGGGAUUCUCAG
rnacentral:lncRNA from 1 species